AAUAAAAGUUACAUAAUUGAGCCCCUGCAGUAUGUUUAAUGUAGACUAACACAACUUGGUACACAUAUGUAGCAUGUCAAGACGUACAAAAAAGCUCAUUGGAGCCAUA